UCGACCUGAGCUCAGGCAAGGUUACCCGCUGAACUUAAGCAUAUCAAUAAGCGGAGGAAAAGAAACUAACAAGGAUUCCCCUAGUAACGGCGAGCGAACCGGGAAUAGCCCAACGUGUAAAUCUCCCUCGGAGAAUUGUAGUCUACAGAAGCAACUUCUGCAACGGCCGGACCUCAAGUCCCCUGGAAGGGGGCGUCAGAGAGGGUGAGAACCCGUCGGGUCUUGGUGCGGUUGCCUCACGAAGUGCUCUCCAAGAGUCGGGUUGUUUGGGAAUGCAGCCCAAAUUUGGUGGUAAAUCCCAUCUAAGGCUAAAUAUUGGCGAGAGACCGAUAGCGAACAAGUACCGCGAGGGAAAGAUGAAAAGAACUUUGAAAAGAGAGUUAAAAAGUGCUUGAAAUUGUUGAGGGGGAAGCGAUUGGCAGCUGUGUGUGCACCUAGGCUUACGCCGCCUUAACGGGCGGCUGCAUGUGCUAGGUGCUGGUCAGCAUGGGUUAGCCUGGCAGGAUAAACGCAGGGGUUGUUACUCUGUCUAUACUGCCGGGUUGACCGAGGUGUGAAGGCCGCUCUUGUCCCUCGGGAUCUGCGGCCUCAAGAUGCUGGCGGAAGGCUUUCAAUCGGCCCGUCUUGAAACACGGACCAAGGAGUCUAACAUGUAUGCGAGCUGGUGGGUGGCAAACCCAUGAGGCGCAAGUAACCUGACUGGUGGGAUGGCGUAAGCCUGCACCAUCGACCGACCAUGAUCUUCUGUGAAAGGUUCGAGUACGAGCAUACCUGUUGGGACCCGAAAGAUGGUGAACUAUGCCUGAGCAGGGCGAAGCCAGAGGAAACUCUGGUGGAGGCUCGUAGAUGUGCUGACGUGCAAAUCGCUUUUCGGACUUGGGUAUAGGGGCGAAAGACUAAUCGAACCAUCUAGUAGCUGGUUCCCUCCGAAGUUUCCCCCAGGAUAGCUGGAGCUUGAUCAGUUUUAUCGGGUAAAGCUAAUGAUUAGAGGUUCGGGGGAUGAAACAUCUUCCACCUAUUCUCAAACUUUAAAUAGGUAAGACGUGUGGGUUGCUUAACUGAACCCAUGCAUUCAAUGAGAGCUCCAAGUGGGCCAUUUUUGGUAAGCAGAACUGGCGAUGCGGGAUGAACCGAUAGUCGAGUUAAGGUGCCAGACUACGCGCUAACCUAGAUCCCACAAAGGGUGUUGAUUGAUACAGACAGCAGGACGGUGGUCAUGGAAGUCGAAAUCCGCUAAGGAGUGUGUAACAACUCACCUGCCGAAUCAAUUAGCCCCGAAAAUGGAUGGCGCUGAAGCGCGUGACCUAUACUCGGCCAUGGGGGCAAGUGCGAGGCUCCCAUGAGUAGGAGGGCGUGGGUGUCGCUGCGCAGCCUGGGGCGCGAGCCCGGGUGAAGCGGCACCUAGUGCAGAUCUUGGUGGUAGUAGCAAAUAUUCAAAUGAGAACUUUGAAGACUGAAGGGGAGAAA
rnacentral:rRNA from 1 species